rnacentral:tRNA from 1 species
GGGAAGAUGGCUCAGUGGUAGAGUGCUUGCCUUACAUGCAUAAGGCCCUGGGUUCGAUUCCUCAGCACCCCA